GACGAACGCUGGCGGCGUGCUUAACACAUGCAAGUCGAACGGAAAGGCCCUGCUUUUGUGGGGUGCUCGAGUGGCGAACGGGUGAGUAACACGUGAGUAACCUGCCCUUGACUUUGGGAUAACUUCAGGAAACUGGGGCUAAUACCGGAUAGGAGCUCCUGCUGCAUGGCGGGGGUUGGAAAGUUUCGGCGGUUGGGGAUGGACUCGCGGCUUAUCAGCUUGUUGGUGGGGUAGUGGCUUACCAAGGCUUUGACGGGUAGUCGGCCUGAGAGGGUGACCGGCCACAUUGGGACUGAGAUACGGCCCAGACUCCUACGGGAGGCAGCAGGGGGGAAUAUUGCACAAUGGGCGGAAGCCUGAUGCAGCAACGCCGCGUGCGGGAUGACGGCCUUCGGGUUGUAAACCGCUUUCGCCUGUGACGAAGCGUGAGUGACGGUAAUGGGUAAAGAAGCACCGGCUAACUACGUG
rnacentral:rRNA from 1 species